rnacentral:rRNA from 1 species
CCUACGGGCGGCAGCAGUGAGGAAUAUUGGUCAAUGGACGAGAGUCUGAACCAGCCAAGUAGCGUGAAGGAUGACUGCCCUAUGGGUUGUAAACUUCUUUUAUAAAGGAAUAAAACGAGGCACGUGUGCCUUUUUGCAUGUACUUUAUGAAUAAGGAUCGGCUAACUCCGUGCCAGCAGCCGCGGUAAUACGGAGGAUCCGAGCGUUAUCCGGAUUUAUUGGGUUUAAAGGGAGCGUAGAUGGGUUGUUAAGUCAGUUGUGAAAUUUUGCGGCUCAACCGUAAAAUUGCAAUUGAUACUGGCAGUCUUGAGUACAGUUGAGGUAGGCGGAAUUCGUGGUGUAGCGGUGAAAUGCUUAGAUAUCACGAAGAACCCCGAUUGCGAAGGCAGCUUACUAAACUGUGACUGACAUUGAUGCUCGAAAGUGUGGGUAUCAAACAGGAUUAGAUACCCCUGUAGUC